AAAAACAUAACCUUUAGCCAAACAAAUAUUAAAGGCGAUGCCUGCCCAGUGAAUAAUUAAACGGCCGCGGUAUCCUAACCGUGCAAAGGUAGCAUAAUCAUUUGUCUAUUAACUGUAGACCUGUAUGAAAGGCAAAAUGAGGGUUUAACUGUCUCUUAUAGUAAAUCUAUAAAACUGAUCUACUAGUAAAAAAGCUAGAAUACCACCAUAAGACCAGAAGACCCUGUGAAGCUUUAACUAAACUAUUAAACCAAAUAAUAACUACUUUAGGUUGGGGCGACCUUGGAAAUAAAAAGAACUUCCACACAAUAAAUAUUCAAAGGCCCACAAGCCACUAACGACCCAGUAACACUGAUAAUUGAACCAAGUUACUCCAGGGAUAACAGCGCCAUCUUCUUCAAGAGCCCAUAUCAAAAAGAAGGUUUACGACCUCGAUGUUGGAUCAGGACACCCCAAUGGUGCAACCGCUAUUAAAGGUUCGUUUGUUCAACGAUUAAU
rnacentral:rRNA from 1 species